rnacentral:rRNA from 1 species
CCUACGGGAGGCAGCAGUGGGGGAUAUUGCACAAUGGGGGGAACCCAGAUGCAGCGACGCCGCGUGGGUGAAGAAGUAUUUCGGUACGUAAAGCUCUAUCAGCAGGGAAGAAAAAAAGUCCUUUGGACUUUGGACGGUACCUGACCAAGAAGCCCCGGCUAACUACGUGCCAGCAGCCGCGGUAAUACGUAGGGGGCAAGCGUUAUCCGGAUUUACUGGGUGUAAAGGGAGCGUAGACGGCAGCGCAAGUCUGGAGUGAAAUGCCGGGGCAACCCCGGAACUGCUUUGGAAACUGUGCAGCUGGAGUGCAGGAGAGGUAAGCGGAAUUCCUAGUGUAGGAGUGAAAUCCGUAGAUAUCUGGAGGAACAUCAGUGGCGAAGGCGACUAUCUGGCACAUAACUGACGCUGAGGAGCGAAAGCGUGGGUAGCAAACAGGAUUAGAUACCCUUGUAGUC